rnacentral:rRNA from 1 species
CUUUAACGGAGAGUUUGAUCCUGGCUCAGGACGAACGCUGGCGGCGUGCCUAAUACAUGCAAGUCGAGCGGACUUGAUGGAGUGCUUGCACUCCUGAUAGUUAGCGGCGGACGGGUGAGUAACACGUAGGUAACCUGCCCAUAAGACUGGGAUAACCCACGGAAACGUGAGCUAAUACCAGAUAGGCAUUUU